UACGGGGAUGCAAGCGUUAUCCGGAUUUAUUGGGUUUAAAGGGUGCGUAGGCUGUGAGGUAAGUCAGCGGUGAAAUGCCCCCGCUCAACGGGGUGAAGUCGCCAUUGAUACUGCCUUGCUGGAAUGCGGAUGCCGUGGGAGGAAUGUGUGGUGUAGCGGUGAAAUGGCAGUAGAUAUCACACAGAACACCGAAUUGCGAAGGCAUCUCGAAGCG
rnacentral:rRNA from 1 species